CCCUGGAGUUGUGAGGCAAGAGUCCCUGAUAUGUUAGUCCCUGCUCUCCCCACUGGCUCUCUACGUGUUAUUGGGAAAGAUAUAUCACAUUAAAGAAAAAAUAUAUAUCACAUUUUCUGCACUUCAGUUUCUCUCUCUAUAUCCUAGAAAACCACAUAUAUAUACUAUAUAUUUCUAUAUCCUAGAAGAUCAUAACUUUUUAUUUUUCUCCCUACCCCAUGUCCACACAUAGUGACUUCUUUGUCAGAGGGAAUCUUUAAUGGGAACCUGAGCAAUCCAGAGAAGGGUCGUUGUUGAGAGAGACAACAAGGUUUGAUGGAAUCUAGAAGUGGAUAUUGUCAGGAAAGACCUUGGUUCAAAUUUUCCUUCUGAUACUAGCUAUUUGACCAUGAGCAAAUCACUUUUGGAAUCUCCAUUUUGUCACCAAGCAAAUGGGAUAAUACCUGUGGCACUUGAAAGGUUGUUGUGAGGAUCAUGUACUUUAUAGCACUCUGAAAGCCUUAGAAUUCUCUAUAAAGGUUCUUUUCAGGAGUUCCCCAAGGCUCCUGAGUACAGACAACACUGGGAGAAGCCAGCCAUAAAAUAACCUGCAUCUGAUCCUCCAGAUCUGGCCCUACCCUGCAGAAGGUGAUCCUGGUGCUUUGAUGUUCUGACUGGGGAAGAAUAUCCUGCCCAUACUUUUGGAUAUCCGUUCAUUCUUCUCUGCAUCCAGGCCUCCAUGUCGAACCCAGUCCCAUCAAGCGAGAAGCUCUGUGUUUCAGGGAACCUCCGGAGAAUGAAGGCAACUGGACAUCUCACUGCUGCAUUAUCAGUUGCAACCUCAGAUUCUGAGUUGCCCAGUUCUGUAUCCAGAUCAUUAUGUGAGGAUGAAUGUUUUUUAUCCAUGGAAUCCAUGGUAAGAAGUUUUUUUGUGAAUAUAUAUGCAAACUCACUUUCUAUGUGCAAGUCUGUUGAUGCACAUGUGCCCCAUAUUUCAUGUGUGUUGGUCUCAUGUAUAUUGGUGAUAUUUGCUGCUGUGGAUAUAUAUUUAUAUCCUGUGUAUAUGGAUUUGUAUUUGAUUCAUUCUAUCAUAUAUUCAAGUACUUAUGUACUUGAUCAUAUAUUAAGUACUUUCAGUGUGCAUAGCACUUGUAUUCAUUUUAUCCCUUUCCCAUUACAUUGUGCUACAUAUACAGUAGGUACCUAA
rnacentral:lncRNA from 1 species